rnacentral:rRNA from 1 species
UACGUAGGGUGCAAGCGUUAAUCGGAAUUACUGGGCGUAAAGCGUGCGCAGGCGGUUUUGUAAGUUUGUCGUGAAAUCCCCGGGCUUAACCUGGGAAUUGCGAUGAAGACUGCAAGGCUAGAAUCUGGCAGAGGGGGGUAGAAUUCCACGUGUAGCAGCGAAAUGCGUAGAGAUGUGGAGGAACACCGAUGGCGAAGGCAGCCCCCUGGGUCAAGAUUGACGCUCAUGCACGAAAGCGUGGGGAGCAAACAGG